CCCCUCGUGGUGAAAGUGGCAAACACAGCGCACUCAAAAUGCGCCGCCUUUGGCUUGUGGGUUCGAAUCCCACCGAGGGGA
rnacentral:tRNA from 1 species